rnacentral:tRNA from 1 species
CGGACUGUAGCGCAGCUUGGUAGCGCACCGUCAUGGGGUGUCGGGGGUCGGAGGUUCAAAUCCUCUCAGUCCG